rnacentral:rRNA from 1 species
AUCCUUAGUCAUAUUUCCAAGAAAAGCUCCGAUUACUUUAUAAUUUAAAUAACCUGUACCCUAAACCGACACAGGUAGGUAGGUAGAGAAUACUAAGGGGCGCGAGAUAACUCUCUCUAAGGAACUCGGCAAAAUAACUCCGUAACUUCGGGAGAAGGAGUGGCUAGAGAUAGCCCGCAGUGACCAGGCCCAGGCGACUGUUUAUCAAAAACACAGGUUUCCGCAAAAUCGUAAGAUAAAGUAUGGGAGCUGACGCCUGCCCAGUGUCGGAAGGUAAAAGAAGUUGGUUAUUCUUCGGAAGAAGCUGACGACUGAAGCCCCGAUGAACGGCGGCUGUAACACUGACAGUCCUAAGGUAGCGAAAUUCAUUGCCAAGUAAGUUUUGGCCCGCACGAAAGGCGUAACGAUCUGGGUACUGUCUCGGAGAGAGACUCGGUGAAAUAGAAAUGUCUGUGAAGAUGCGGACUACCUAUACCAGGACAGAAAGACCCUGUGAAGCUUGACUGUAGCUUGGAAUUGGAUUCGGGCUCUUUUUGUGCAGUCUAGGUGGGAGGCGAUGAUAUACUGUUUUCGGACAGUGUGGAGCCAUCAGUGAGAGACCACUCUGAAAGAGCUAGGAUCCUAAUACGAAUCCUUGAAUCAGGAUCGUUAACAGUUUCAGGCGGACAGUUUGUUUGGGGCGAAUACCUCCCAAAAAGUAACGGAGGUGUGCAAAGGCUUCCUCAGGCUGGACGGAAAUCAGCUGUAGAGUGUAAAAGUAUAAGGGAGCUUGACUGCAAGACCAACAAGUCGAGCAGGAGUGAAAGCUGGCUUUAGUGAUCCGACGGUACCGAGUGGAAGGGCCGUCGCUCAACGAAUAAAAGUUACUCCAGGAUAACAGGCUAAUCACUUCCAAGAGUUCGUAUCGACGAAGUGGUUUGGCACCUCGAUGUCGGCUCAUCGCAACCUGGGGCUGUAGUCGGUCCCAAGGGUUGGACUGUUCGUCCAUUAAAGCGGUACGUGAGCUGGGUUCAGAACGUCGUGAGACAGUUCGGUCCAUAUCCGGUAUAGGCGUAAGAGCAUUGAGAGGAGCUCGACAUUGUACGAGAGGACCCGAAGGGUCGUACCGAUGGUGUACCAGUUCUUGUACCAACAGGAAACGCUGGGUAGCUAUGUACGAAGUGGAUAAUCGCUGAAAGCAUUUAAGUGAGAAGCCCACCUCAAGAUGAAUGCUCUCUAUUAGAUCGCAGCAAGAUAAUCUGAUUAAUUGGCGUUAGGUGUAAGGUCAGUAAUGGCUUCAGCCGAGACGUACAAAGGAUCGA